AACAUAUUUGUGUGUAAUUUCAGAAUGUGGACUUCAUUCCAUAGUCUUACACUGAAGAAAAAAGAGCUACAAAGAAUAAUGAUCCAUGGAUUCUAGAGAGGGACAUGGGUACAUGCAAUUGUCCAGCUGCUGUGAGUCAGCUUGGUGUGGUGGAAGCUUAUGAUGUGAGAUGUGCAGUGGUUACCAUAGCAUAUAGCAAAUGAAGGUGUGCAAGCAUGAGGGAACGAACAUGACCCCUAACAGCAGGAUGAAUAAUGAUUUGGUUGCUAAAGAAGAAAACGGAUGUGGAUGUCUCAGUGUCCACAGAGCAGAAUGCGUGAUGGCUUCACCUACUUGAGAAGUUGCUAUCCUGGGCUGGCAACACUUCUGUAAGUUUCCUGUGUCAUUGAGUUAGAGUCACGACUCUGGGACCAGCAGUUACUGUAACAUGGC